rnacentral:tRNA from 1 species
GUGCAGGUGGUCGAGUGGUAACACUCUGGUCUACCAUUCCAGAGGUUCAAUUCCCUGGUCCG